GUGCUCGCUUUGGCUGCACAUUUACUGAAAUUGGAAUGAUACAGAGAAGAUUAGCAUGGCCCCUGCACAAGGAUGACAUGCAAAUUCAAGAAGCAUUUCAUAUUAAA